GACGAACGCUGGCGGCGUGCUUAACACAUGCAAGUCGAACGGAAGGGCCCUGAUUUUGUGGGGUUCUCGUUUGGCGAACGGGUGAGUAACACAUGAGUAACCUGCCCUUGACAUUGGGAUAAAUUCAGGGAACUGGGGCUCAUACCGGAUAUGAUCUCCUGCGUCAUGGGGGGGAUUGGAGAGUUACGGUGUUUGGGGAUAUAAUGGGGGUGUAUGAGCUUGAUUGUGGGGUAGUGGCUUACCAAGGCUAUGAAGGGUAGCCGACCUGUGCGAGUGAUCGGCCACACUGGAACUGGGACACGGUCCAUACUACUACGAGAGGCAGCAGUAGGGAAUCUUACGCAGUAGGCGAGAGCCUUACGGAGCGACGCCGCGUGAGUUAUGACGGUCUUGGGAUCGUAAAACUCUGUUAUCAGUGAAGAACAGAUUUGUAAGUAACCGUGGACAUCUUGACGGUACCUAAUCAGAAAGCCACGGCUAACUACGUG
rnacentral:rRNA from 1 species